rnacentral:misc_RNA from 1 species
CAACCCCUCAAGCACUGCUUGGUGUUGGGGCACUGCGCAGCGCGCACGCCCUUAAGCUCAGUGGCGGGCUCUCUUGUGGCACCGAGCGAAGUAAUACUCGCAGCUCUGGUAGAUCAGGGAGUUCCGGCCGUUAAAAGCCCAAUUUCUUAAA